rnacentral:snRNA from 1 species
CCUUUCAGAGGUGUAUGACCUCU